rnacentral:lncRNA from 12 species
AUGUCCCAUGUCUGGUGGAAGCUAGACUCCGGUGUCAGCACUCUUGCCGCCCCGUGCAUGCUAACUCCUAGCCCCGGGGAUGAUGCUGCAUUCUGCUCUGCACCUUUGUGGUGUGUUUCUCUCUGCAUAACAGAAAGUGGUUUGGGCAUGAAGGCCCUCCCCUGGAGUCCUGGGGUGCCAUCAGUCCUGGGAAAUGACUUGAGAAAAAAAAAUACAACAAAGACUCCUUGGUCUCAACUGAAGCAAGAGAGGCCAUUCCCUUCACUCCAGCCAGAUUCACAUCAGAAUUGGAAUCUGGAGAAAGGGAGGAUGAGCAGCACGUUGGUACUGGAUCCUGGCCAAAUCUUGCUAUAGAGUCUGUGUGAGACACCAGGAAAUGGGGCUUGUCAGCGGGAUGUGCAAGACUGAAAAAUAAAACUGGUGUGUUUCAUGGGGGCA